rnacentral:lncRNA from 10 species
GGGCAGGGGAGGGUUCCCAGUUGCUGGAGGUGGUGGAUCUAGUGGUGGAGUCAGGAAACCAGGGUGGGGAGUGUCAGAGGAAAGGGCACGAAGGGGCUGAGAGAGGGAGGAAGAGAUGGACUGAGAGAGGGAGUCACGGGAGGAGGGAGAGAGGGAGAGAGAGAGAGAGAGAGAGAGAGACAGAGAGAGAUGGAGAGAGAGAAAGACAGAGAGACACACAGACAGAGAGAGACAGAGACAGGGUGACGGGGGGGAGAGAGAGAGAGAGAUGGAGAGAGAGACAGAGAGAGAGCCAGACAGAGAGACACAGAGAGAGAGAGAGAAAGAGAGAGACAGAGACAGAGUGACAGAGAGGGGGAGAGCAAGAGACAGAGAGAGACUGGGAAAAUGAAUGAGAAGAUAUGACAGUGGAGAGAGAGGAGUCCAGGAAUACGAGCACAGAGGCAGGUGUGCUCAUGAGAGAAGGAACUGAGGAGAGAGCUGGAGAAACCGGUGGAAGUUGGAUGUGACAGGGAACAGAAGAGGCAGACGGUGGGAAAAAAACAAGACAGAGGAAGAGGGAGACACAGAGACGCAGGGAGAGAGGGGUGUGGAGAAGUGGAGAUAGAAAAGCAAAAGACGGAGGGAAGAAGGUGGAGAUAGAAUGGAAACAGACACACAGAAAGAGAAAACAGUGGAGAGAGAGGAGAGAGACCCAGAAAGAGAAGGGGACAGAGAUUCAGAGACAGAAGGACAGUCUUAACAGACGGGGUUGGAAAUUCAAAAUAGGAGACGGCAGAGAGCAGGAGAGACAGAGUGAAUGAGAUGGGGAAGGAUUCUGGCCAGCCUGCAGGGGGGUUCUGGAGUUGGGGGGGUUCCAUCCUCAUUUGGGGGAGGGCCUACCCUCCUCAGCCCCUCCCCUAGCCCCUUAAAUUCCCCAGUGCUUGUGUCCGUCUCUGGGCCUGGGCAGCCCCGUACCUGGACCACGUGGUGACUCAGGAGGCUGCUUGCCUCCCUUGGCUACCCCAACUGUUCCCCGGCCUCAGCCUGACUCAGCCUCCCUCCACCUCGGCACCCCCCUAGGCUGGCUCUUUGAGCUGGAGCUUGGCCUGGGUCUGUCUGUACACCUGGGGAC